GCAUAUGAGUGUUCACACUUUGGUCUG
rnacentral:piRNA from 1 species